UACGUAGGGUGCGAGCGUUAAUCGGAGUUACUGGGCGUAAAGCGUGCGCAGGCGGGCUUUUAAGCCAGACGUGAAAUCCCCGGGCUUAACCUGGGAAUGGCGUUUGGGACUGGAAGUCUGGAGUGCGGCAGAGGAGACUGGAAUUCCUGGUGUAGCAGUGAAAUGCGUAGAUAUCAGGAGGAACCCCGAUGGCGAAGGCAGGUCUCUGGGCUGACACUGACGCUAAUGCACGAAGCGUGGGGAGCAAACAGG
rnacentral:rRNA from 1 species